GAUGAACGCUGGCGGCGUGCCUAAUACAUGCAAGUCGAGCGAACAGACGAGGAGCUUGCUCCUCUGACGUUAGCGGCGGACGGGUGAGUAACACGUGGAUAACCUACCUAUAAGACUGGGAUAACUUCGGGAAACCGGAGCUAAUACCGGAUAAUAUAUUGAACCGCAUGGUUCAAUAGUGAAAGACGGUUUUGCUGUCACUUAUAGAUGGAUCCGCGCCGCAUUAGCUAGUUGGUAAGGUAACGGCUUACCAAGGCAACGAUGCGUAGCCGACCUGAGAGGGGGAUCGGCCACACUUGAACUUAGACACGGUCCAGACUCCUACGGGAGGCAGCAGUAGGGAAUCUUCCGCAAUGGGCGAAAGCCUGACGGAGCAACGCCGCGUGAGUGAUGAAGGUCCUCGGAUCGUAAAACUCUGUUAUUAGGGAAGAACAAAUGUGUAAGUAACUAUGCACGUCUUGACGGUACCUAAUCAGAAAGCCACGGCUAACUACGUG
rnacentral:rRNA from 1 species